AGUCUAGUGAAUUGCCACCCCAUAUAUCACAGCUGAUGGGCACUAUCUAAUCACAUUUGUCAUGCCAUCGAGGAUGGCUAUGAUUAGAAGACAAGCCUUCUCAUGUCCAAGUCGAGAUCAGAUAGGAUUCUCAUUUAUUUAAAAUAGACUAAGAGUGAUCUCUAUUUUAAGUUUUUGCUAGAGAACUUUGUGAUAAGGAUGACAAGAAAACUAAACUAAACUUUAACCCC
rnacentral:lncRNA from 1 species